GCAUGCACAAAACCUAACUCACUAACUGCAUCUACAUAAAAUAGUACUAGGUGAUAAACUUACAAUCCUCACAUAGCCUCAACAUGUGGCUAGGCAAAUAUACGAACUACACAGUUAACGUAUACCGCGACAUACGACAGUUCCGAGACCGAAAUACAGGACAACAGGGCCUUUUUUAAGGAUUUUCCCGUGGGGGGGGGGGUAUUUUUUGAAAAGGGAUCUUAGAUAAUAUAUUAGAGGGGGACAGCAAUGGCCGACGGCCACGGUGUGUGGCCGACAUACUCCCCCAAAAACUGUUUUAAAUUUGAACCUUUCAAAUACCAUUUCCUGCUUUAUGAGCGUCUAAAUUUGCUCUAAAAUUUAUGCUAAUUAUACUUGUAUUUGAAAUAAAAGAAGGAAAAAAUGCAGAAAAAAUAAAAGAAAUAUUAUAAUUUAUCCAUUACUUAUUAUUAAAGGGGGAUAGCAAUGGCCGUGGGUCACGUGUGUGGCCGACAUACCGCGAAUGAAUAGGGGGUCUGGAGGCAUUAACUCCCCCAGAAAAUUUUUGAAAUUUCAAGCCCAAAAAUGCCAUUUCCUGCCGUCUGAGCAUCUAAAUUUUCUAAAAUUUAUCCUAACUAUACUUCUAUUUGAAAUAAAAGAAGGAAAAAACACACAAAGAAUUUAAAAAAUAUUAACAAUAAUUUAUCAUUACUUAGUGUUAGAAACACGUAGGAUGCGCACGCGGUGACACAGUCCUUUAAAUCGAUUUUGUUAAACAAGGACAAAGGAUAAAGCCUAAAACGUACGUUCCGUUUAUCAAUUUGUUAUUCUUCGCUGAUUUGUUUGUAUAAAUUUAGGAAAUUUCGUGAAGGGGGGGGGCACAAGGGGGGACUGGGGGCAAAUGCCCCCCCCCCCCUCCAGCUUGUAUGUUAACUGAGGCCCUGCAGAACAAAUCCAGUUUUCAAGUGAGCCUCAGAACGUGCAUUUUCAUUUCCGAUCAGCCUGCAUCAGAGCAAAGUAUCCAAGCUUUCUUGGCGACGUUCUCGUUCCUCCAGACUUUCCUCCCCUUCUCAAGGUGGAGCACGUCCAAAGGCUUGCAGGAGAGUUCGGCUGGGUCCUUUAGAAACGUACUUGCCAACUUAAAUUGCUAACUUAAAAUCUGCGUAUUUUGGAGUAUUUUGUGUUUUGU